GUCCAGACUCCUACGGGAGGCAGCAGUGGGGAAUAUUGCACAAUGGGGGAAACCCUGAUGCAGCGACGCCGCGUGAGUGAAGAAGUAUUUCGGUAUGUAAAGCUCUCUCAGCAGGGAAGAAAAUGACAGUACCUGACUAAGAAGCCCCGGCUAACUACGUGCCAGCAGCCGCGGUAAUACGUAGGGGGCAAGCGUUAUCCGGAUUUACUGGGUGUAAAGGGAGCGUAGACGGCAUGGCAAGUCGGAUGUGAAAGCCCGGGGCUCAACCCCGGGACUGCAUUUGAAACUGUCAGGCUGGAGUGCAGGAGAGGUAAGUGGAAUUCCUAGUGUAGCGGUGAAAUGCGUAGAUAUUAGGAGGAACACCAGUGGCGAAGGCGGCUUACUGGACUGUAACUGACGUUGAGGCUCGAAAGCGUGGGGAGCAAACAGGAUUAGAUACCCUCGUAAC
rnacentral:rRNA from 1 species